UACGAAGGGUGCAAGCGUUACUCGGAAUUACUGGGCGUAAAGGGCUCGUAGGCGGCCAACUAAGUCCGACGUGAAAUCCCCAGGCUCAACCUGGGAACUGCGUCGGAUACUGGAUGGCUUGAAUUCGGGAGAGGGAUGCAGAAUUCCAGGUGUAGCGGUGAAAUGCGUAGAUAUCAGGAAGAACACCAAUGGCGAAGGCAGCUCUCUGGGACGGUACUGACGCUGAGACGCGAAAGCGUGGGGAGCGAACAGG
rnacentral:rRNA from 1 species